CUGAGUAUUUGUUCCUUGAAUAGGGAAGAUUUCAUUUCAUGAUGCGCAACUCUCUCCUGCGGCUGACACUGCACUUUCGUUGUAAGGGCAGCUUGAGAAUGUGUGUGCCUUUAGUGAACAAUGACUGCUGAGAGUACGCAGACUGUGAUUGCCCAAAUUGCAAAAGUGAAGACUCAGCGGUGACCAGUGCAGACUGACUUAGGAUCAUAAGCCCCAGCUUCUGCCGUAUCUAAGAAGAAUAAUUUCAGUUACAAAGGCAAAAGGGUGACCGCGCAGCAGCACUGGCAAAAAGCUAGAAGGGUAAACGCAAAGCCAGCCUGCAUCCCUGUGCACUGGGAGCCGUGAAGAAGGGACCCAGAAUGGCCCACGUGGCCAGAAAAGGAGACCCAGAAGUAAGAGAAAGCCUGUGGACCAGCGGAGGCAAGGGAUUUAAAAAAGUGUGUGUGCAAGUUCCGAGGACUCUGAGUCCAGGGGUGACUGGCCAGGAUUAAGGAUCCUAGCAGUGCCUGUCAGAAUAUCAGCUGCCCCAAAGCCGGGCUUUAUUCUUCUGUCUUCGCCCGGGAGAUCCCAGCUCAGGACGAGCCUAGGCCAGGCACUCCAGAGCGGGGCCCAGCAAGUCUGCGGAGGACGUGGUGUUAACACAAACAUCUUACGCCUCCCGCUGUGGCUUCGAAGCCACAGGCCCUCCCUGAACACCUAGUCAAGGCCUUGGAGGAGGAGUCAGAGAGGCAGGGGAGGAACGCAGAAGGGGAAGAGACGGCAUUGCUUCCAAAAGUGGCUCAGAUCUUACAGGAAGAGACUGAUUACGUUCCCUGAUGAAUGUAAACUUACCAGAAUGUGAACUGGCGACUGAAAUGAACGCGCAGCCUGAAAGUUGAGAGUUAUGUUUUAUUUGGCGGGAGGACUCCAGCCGGGAUGACGGCCUCUCAGGUCGCUCUCAGGGACUGCUCCCAAGAGGUGGGGGAGGAGCCAGGAUAUACAGGAGCUUUACAGCAAAGACUUAUUCUUAUUAAAAUAACAAUCGAAGUUUUAUCUUCACUAUAAUUUGUUAGUUAGCUUAGUGUGUUGUUUAAUUUUAAAUUCUUGUGUUAAGUAAAUACUUUAUUUCCUUGUUUUUUCCAAUGUAAAUCUUCAAUUAUUCAAACAGUCUUUCUUGUAGAAAACGAGUGAUGACCCGGAGCCCGCAUUACCACAGUGAAAAGUGUGAUCCAGAUUUGCAGCCACUCCAGUCAAAUAAGAGCUCAAAUUUAUCUUUCAGAGGACAUUUGUUGAUUGCCCUGUUCUUUGCCUUCUGUGACAGUGUCCAGAAUUUUACAACAAUAUGGUUUGAAAUUGGAAAUGACCCUGGUCCUUGUGCCCAAGGACCGUGGACCCUCCCAGGCCCGUCUCCUCCCUGGGAGGUUUGUUAGAAAGACCAGGAUGGUGCAGACCGGGACUGGUCAUAAAACAGUCUUUGUAAAGAUACGUAAUCAGAUAUGAUGUAUUUAUCUUUCUAAAAAGCUUGCAAGCAUUUCACCAAAGCGUAACAUUUUUCACCUGAACAGUAAAACAUGUUUUCGUAAAUAUUUUCGCGGUCACUUGGCACUGCGCGAAAGCUGAGACAAGGGUUCAGAGCCCUGGCAACAUGGUCUGUUACAUUUUGCUCUGCUUUCUGCUUUAUCUUAGAGGCGAAGAGUUGAAGCCAGCUAGAAGAGUUGCAGGGGUAAAGCCUCUAAGAUGUAACUGUGGGAACAGACACACUGAUGACUUCUCUCUUCCACGUACGAAAAAGAUCGCAAACAGAACGAAAAUGCUCCCAUUUUGUACCCUUUUCCCCAUGAUGUCCUGAACAAUAAA